UACGUAGGGGGCAAGCGUUGUUCGGAAUUACUGGGCGUAAAGGGCGCGUAGGCGGCACAGCAAGUCGGGAGUGAAAGCCCGGGGCUCAACCCCGGAACGGCUUUCGAAACUGCUGAGCUAGAGUACAGAAGGGGCAACCGGAAUUCCCAGUGUAGCGGUGAAAUGCGUAGAUAUUGGGAAGAACACCUGAGGCGAAGGCGGCUCACUGGCCCGGUACUGACGCUGAGGUGCGAAAGCGUGGGGAGCAAACAGG
rnacentral:rRNA from 1 species